rnacentral:rRNA from 1 species
UACGUAGGGUCCGAGCGUUGUCCGGAAUUAUUGGGCGUAAAGGGCUCGUAGGCGGUUCGUCACGUCGGGAGUGAAAACUCGGGGCUUAACCCCGAGCCUGCUUCCGAUACGGGCAGACUAGAGGUAGGCAGGGGAGAGCGGAACUCCUGGUGUAGCGGUGAAAUGCGUAGAUAUCAGGAGGAACACCGGUGGCGAAGGCGGCUAUCUGGACAGAGUCUGACGCUGAGGCGCGAAAGCUAGGGGAGCAAACAGG